GGAAGGGUGGCAGAGUGGUUGAAUGCAGCAGUCUUGAAAACUGCCGACGCGCAAGCGUUCGUGGGUUCGAAUCCCACCCCUUCCGCCA
rnacentral:tRNA from 5 species